GGCAAACGUUCAUUGUGUUGGAAAUAGACAUAAACAAACACACAAACACACACAAUGCAAAACAUUUCUAUGUUCUGAGCUGUCUCCUUAAUCUUCUUUCUCUUCUUCUUUUGCCCCCUUUUCUUCCUACCCCUAAUUCCUUAUAGACUUCAGUAGUAUAUUACAACAACUGAAAGAUAUUUUUACUUCUGAUUUUUAAGGUUAGGACAAUAUUUCUCAUCAAAAUUAAGGCCCCCUUUUGAAAAACCAUCAAAGGAGAGAAGAAAACAAGGAAAAAAAUACUCAUGAAAGGAUACCGCGGAAUGGUAAAGACUUCUUCAUCUUUAACAAGACGUCUCGAGUUUAAUAUUAUGAAAUAAAGUCCUCUUUGAUUGGGAGAGGUUAAACUCUAAUAGUGGACCUUUUAUGAUGCGAAUCUGAAUUAGUUGAGCCGGACUUUAAUCUGCUGCUGGAAGCUGAGGAAAAACGAGUGGGGAAAUAAAUCAAACACCUUGUGUGCAACAAAGGUUUCAGUGGAUUUAGAUUUCAAGAAAAUGUUCCUACAUCAACUGCAAAUGCAAAUGCAGAUAGUUGGUUUUAUUUCCAGCUACUUUAUGGGUUCAAAAUUUCAACUUUUUCUGCUUGAAAUGGAUUUCUCCAAAUGUUGUUCCAUUUGUUCUUGAUUCACGGCGGUUGACGGCGGCUGACGGUGAUGGUUGGCGGCGGAGGGUGGUGGUGAUAUUGGCGGGGACGGCUCAAUCUUUCUCUUAAUGGUACCUUUUUGUAUAUCAUUUUGAUCUUGAUUUUAACUUUAAUUUUCUACAUUGCCUUUUGGUUUUUAUUGUUAUUGUAGAAAAUUUGGAAUUAAUUAUAUUAUCUUUUGGCCCA